CGCUCGUGACGGAGCAUACGUCUUUUAUUCCGGGUCGAUGAUGGUGUUGUUAACCGGUCAGUGACAGUUUGUGGUUGAAGAGAAAUUUCGAUUACAGUAAUCGGCGGGGCGUCGACGACACUUAACAUUAAGUAAAUGGCUCACCACUUCGGCGUUGAAAACAAUAAAAAAGCGCCGACGCGUUUUGAUGGAUUGUGAGCUGUUAAACCCCACCACAUCAAACAUGAAUUUAGAAACAGGAUCUGAAAGACGUCAGAUAGGGGCAGACCAAGUCAUUUUUCAGCGCUGUUUUUAAUCUCGGGUUGCGUUCCGCCCCGUUCACGUGCACUUAACGUCAAUACUCGCAAGACGCCGUGAAACUUUUCGUCAGUUGGUUCGGCGACGCCCCCCGGACACAGCAUGCGAGGAAAAGGUUGUUUUGUUGUGCUAUACCGACCGUAUCUGGUCUCGCUCCAACCGAGCUCAAUCGAAGCAAAGAGCAGAACUUCCCACGAGCAUUUGCAGUCUAAAGCAACCGAUACCACUCCAGUUUCGGCGAGUGGGUUAAGGUACUUGGUAACUGGAGUCGUAUGGCAACGUUGCAACGGGUGAACGCGUGCGUGCUUAUGUUUAACUAUAGAACUAGAUACAGCCGUUUUUGUAAGGAUUACUCUGUCCAACCUGCUAUGUACAUAUUGUGCAUGAGCAUUUGAGGGUCGGCGUGCUGGAUAUACGCGGACGUGCGGCGCCAUGCUGUAUUGAGCCAAGCUGCUUUCAGUUCACGGCUUCUUGGUUGCCCGUGGUCCGGAACUGAAAGAGUCACGCCGAGUUAUCCGUUUAUCCAAACAUUUGGCCACCAACGCUAUUGGCAGCUGAGUGAAUGGAUCUAGCGAUGAAAGGCCACAAGCCAGCGGUGCGGGCGUUUAUGAAUCUCUAUAUCCGUGCUUUGUAUUGAACAGCAACGAGAUUUAGAGCUCCUUUGUUAACUGGGUUUCCUCGUUCAAACCAGCUGCCGGGUUACUGAAUCGCGCUUCUGAAUUCGCAGUAGCAAAACUAAUUAUUUCCCGAAGUAGUCACCCAGGUGUGGCCGCCCAUUGAGGUCCAAUAAAACACAGGCACACACGGUCUCGUCGCCGCACUUCUCAAUCAACAAUGGCCGAACUGGUGUUUAUUUUGUUACGUCAAUACAAGGGCCACAUCGCACCAGAGCUCUGACAAGCGCACGGAGAGAAACACGCGAUCGUUCGCUGUGAUUAAAGUCGCUUCUUGAAAACGAACAUAAAUAUUUCAUCCCCGGCUCCACGCCACGGUUAAUUGAGUUUGAGUCUAACCCUAAGGUAAUCACGCGCUGCUGACAGACCACCCGACGACCAGGCCCGGAGAGGCGAAAUCGAUCGAGCAAAUAAAGGGCGUACUUUUCUGUACGAGCACUUCGGGAGUUUUCAAACUGUGGUUGUUAUAGUUCCGGAUGAAACGAAUACCAACGUACUUCAAAUUCGUGGUUAACGGCAAUUGGUCAGGUCGUGCCCCUAUACAUCAAUCAUUCAAUGCGCUUAAAAACCUCUAUGUUUCCGCAAUCCCGCUUUGCCGGAGUGUGUUUAUUUGCGAGUAAAUAAAUUAUACCACAGCAGUGAGUGUUUACGCCACGCAAGACACUCAUAUUCUAAAGAAUCAACAACACUAUACGGUUGCAUAUAAUACAGUGCAACCUAAACGUAGUAUAAGUGCUAUCGCCACGUCUUGUAUUGGUAUUGUGUUUCGCCUGUUUUGGAAACUCGGGACGAACGUUUAUGAAAAUGACGAAAUUGCGACGAGAUUAGAAUGAACAAUAUCAGAACAAGCCAGCUAGCAACACGAGGAUGAUUAGUUGAAGUAAUAUCGCCAGUAUUGCUGGGAAAUUGUUCUGUUGUUCAUGGCAAGAUUGUUGAGAACAUAUUCGCUAUAUUUAGGCCCAAGACGUUUUUGUAUUGAAAUAGCUUCGAUUGCCAAUUUAUUGCCGAAUAUGAGGCUCACUCUCGUAAAAUUGAGUUAAAGUGGGUGCGCGGUUGAGAACGAAGUCGAUAUCGGAAGCAUUUUAAGGUCAGGUUGUCUGUAUUUGAGCGUUCUCGUGUUUACCAUUCAUCUUACAGCACGGCAGUAGUCUGCCAGUGAUAUCCAGUAGAGUAGUUCGACUUCCUGGCAUCAAUCACUUUCUACGACAUCCGAAUAUAAUUUCCCUUAUGCGUAAUCCGCUUGUUGAAUAACAGGAAAAUCGGGCGUGUUAUCCCGCAUGUUAUACGUGCAGCUGUGAAGCUAUUUCGACGAAAACAACCAAAGAAAAGUUAAUUCGCCAAGCUGACUUUUAAAAUCACGCCGUAUUUUUUGAACUUUGAGGGCCCAUAAUUACACCUUAUAAUUAAAUCUAUCUAGACCGUUGGUGGGCAUAGAGCCUAUGGGAACGACGCGUGAGCACAAAGCGAGGAUCUCAGGUAGCAGAUCACCGAACACAGAAGGAAUGACGUCACGUUUUGUGACGAUCCAGUCGGGACAUUGGAACACUCGAAAAUCGUUUUGCAACAAUCGAAUACUUGUGUGUACGCGGUCUGUUGAAUCGGCGUUGAAUGACUUGCGGAAACAAAACGUCACAGGAACGGGAACAUGAGCCGCGCUAAACGGCGGAAGAUAUACCAGAGACCCAUGGACCACUAAAUCAAAGCACGCGGUACGCACAGCACGGCGGCUUAUUCAUCAAGCGAUGAUAACAGCUACUACUCACAUGUCUCCCUUCUCGCUCCCGUUCCCGAUCACGUUCCCGAUCUCUUGCUGAGGAAGAAGCAAACGCAGCAGCUGUGGAUGAAACAGCAAUUUAAACUAUAUGUAAUAUACUAUACACAGAAAAUUUAAGAUAGGAAUUACCGGUAGUUCAAAGCAAUACAUUUUUAGAACUGUGUUAAAAAAAUUAAAGACGAGUUUCUUACAAAAAUUACACCUAUAGGUGCUUAAAUCAUAGAUUUUUUUGGGUAGUUUCAAUACAAAUAUGACAGUCAAUAUAAAACGAUAACUAAAUCAAUGUUUAGCAUAUGGGUUUAUAAUGCGAAGUAAUUAUACAGAAUGAAAUAGGCAGCCCGCGCAAUCUGAUCGAAACUGGAUACCGGUGUGAUGCGAUCUAAAAAUACAUGGCGGCAAAUCCGUCCCGGGAAACAGAACAUGCGGGCAGCUAUAACUACCUUUGCAUGUGGUUGCGUAAUUAAAUCAUGGUAUGCUCAUAACUGCGCGAGUCUAACCUCCAAUCUUACAACACGAAUCGAUUU